rnacentral:rRNA from 1 species
GACGAACGCUUUUGGCGUGCUUGACACAUGCAAGUCGAACGGAAAGGCCCUGCUUUUGUGGGGUGCUCGAGUGGCGAACGGGUGAGUAACACGUGAGUAACCUGCCCUUGACUUUGGGAUAACUUCAGGAAACUGGGGCUAAUACCGGAUAGGAGCUCCUGCUGCAUGGUGGGGGUUGGAAAGUUUCGGCGGUUGGGGAUGGACUCGCGGCUUAUCAGCUUGUUGGUGGGGUAGUGGCUUACCAAGGCUUUGACGGGUAGCCGGCCUGAGAGGGUGACCGGCCACAUUGGGACUGAGAUACGGCCCAGACUCCUACGGGAGGCAGCAGUGGGGAAUAUUGCACAAUGGGCGGAAGCCUGAUGCAGCAACGCCGCGUGCGGGAUGACGGCCUUCGGGUUGUAAACCGCUUUCGCCUGUGACGAAGCGUGAGUGACGGUAAUGGGUAAAGAAGCACCGGCUAACUACGUGCCAGCAGCCGCGGUGAUACGUAGGGUGCGAGCGUUGUCCGGAUUUAUUGGGCGUAAAGGGCUCGUAGGUGGUUGAUCGCGUCGGAAGUGUAAUCUUGGGGCUUAACCCUGAGCGUGCUUUCGAUACGGGUUGACUUGAGGAAGGUAGGGGAGAAUGGAAUUCCUGGUGGAGCGGUGGAAUGCGCAGAUAUCAGGAGGAACACCAGUGGCGAAGGCGGUUCUCUGGGCCUUUCCUGACGCUGAGGAGCGAAAGCGUGGGGAGCGAACAGGCUUAGAUACCCUGGUAGUCCACGCUGUAAACGGUGGGUACUAGGUGUGGGGUCCAUUCCACGGGUUCCGUGCCGUAGCUAACGCUUUAAGUACCCCGCCUGGGGAGUACGGCCGCAAAGCUAAAACUCAAAGGAAUUGACGGGGCCCCGCACAAGCGGCGGAGCAUGCGGAUUAAUUCGAUGCAACGCGUAGAACCUUACCUGGGUUUGACAUGGAUCGGGAGUGCUCAGAGAUGGGUGUGCCUCUUUUGGGGUCGGUUCACAGGUGGUGCAUGCCUGUCGUCAGCUCGUGUCGUGAGAUGUUGGGUUAAGUCCCGCAACGAGCGCAACCCUUGUUCACUGUUGCCAGCACGUUAUGGUGGGGACUCAGUGGAGACCGCCGGGGUCAACUCGGAGGAAGGUGGGGAUGACGUCAAGUCAUCAUGCCCCUUAUGUCCAGGGCUUCACGCAUGCUACAAUGGCUGGUACAGAGAGUGGCGAGCCUGUGAGGGUGAGCGAAUCUCGGAAAGCCGGUCUCAGUUCGGAUUGGGGUCUGCAACUCGACCUCAUGAAGUCGGAGUCGCUAGUAAUCGCAGAUCAGCAACGCUGCGGUGAAUACGUUCCCGGGGCU